rnacentral:lncRNA from 1 species
GCCGGUACCAUUGAACUCAGCGUGAUUGGAACUUUCAGAUUUGAGCUUCCUAGCCAGCGUUGACCAAAUUUCGGUGACCAUUGACCGGCAAGGGCAUUUUGGUAAUUUCAUACUAUGAGGGCAAUUUUGUAAUUUCUGAGCCUGUGGAUAUUUUAGUAAUUCAUAGAAUUGAGGAUUGGGUGUAAUUACGAUUCCGAGGGUAAUUCGGUGAUUUACGAUUUCAGAGCAUGUUAAUGAUUUACGGACUCAAGGGCAUUUUAGUAAUUUUAUGGACACGGGAGUUGUCAAUUAUGGAUAGAUGUUCGUUUCGAGUUU